rnacentral:rRNA from 1 species
GAUGAACGCUGGCGGCGUGCUUAACACAUGCAAGUCGAACGGAAAGGCCACAGCUUGCUGUGGUACUCGAGUGGCGAACGGGUGAGUAACACGUGGGUGAUCUGCCCUGUACUUCGGGAUAAGCUUGGGAAACUGGGCCUAAUACCGGAUAGGAAUCACAUGUGGGUGUGUGGUUGGAAAGCUUUUGCGGUAUGGGAUGAGCUCGCGGCCUAUCAGCUUGUUGGUGGGGUAAUGGCCUACCAAGGCGUCGACGGGUAGCCGGCCUGAGAGGGUGUACGGCCACAUUGGGACUGAGAUACGGCCCAGACUCCUACGGGAGGCAGCAGUGGGGAAUAUUGCACAAUGGGCGCAAGCCUGAUGCAGCGACGCCGCGUGGGGGAUGACGGCCUUCGGGUUGUAAACUCCUUUCGUCAGGGACGAAGCGAAAGUGACGGUACCUGGAUAAGAAGCACCGGCUAACUACGUG